rnacentral:rRNA from 1 species
AUACGUAGGGGGCAAGCGUUGUCCGGAUUUACUGGGUGUAAAGGGCGCGCAGGCGGAAUGGAAAGUCAGUGGUGAAAUCCUACAGCUUAACUGUAGAACUGCCUUUGAUACUUUCAUUCUUGAGUUCGGGAGAGAGGGACGGAAUUCCAGGUGUAGUGGUGAAAUACGUAGAUAUCUGGAAGAACACCAGUUGCGAAGGCGGUCUCUUGGUCCGAUACUGACGCUGAGGCGCGAAAGCGUAGGGAGCAAACAGGAUUAGAUACCCUGGUAGUCCACGCUGUAAACGAUGAAUACUAGGUGUUGGGUUUUUAACUCAGUGCCGCAGCUAACGCAUUAAGUAUUCCACCUGGGAAGUACGAUCGCAAGGUUGAA